rnacentral:sRNA from 1 species
GCCAGGCAUGGUGGCACAUGCCUGCAAUCCCAGCUACUUGGGAGGCUGAGACAGGAGAAUUACUUGAACCCGGGAGGCGGAGGUUGCAGUGAGCCGAGAUCAAGCCACUGCACUCCAGCCUGGGUGACAGAGUUGAGACUCCAUCUCAAAAAAAAAAAAAAAAAUACAAAAAUUAGCCAGGUGUGAGGGCAGGCACCUAUAAUCCCAGCUACUCUGGAGGCUGAGGUUGCAGUGAGCCAAGGUCAAACCACUGCACUCCAGCCUGGGUGACAGAGCAAGACUCUGUCUCA